CUCUCUUCUGCUUUGCCGUGGUAAGACGUGCCUGCUUCCCCUUCGCCUUUUGCCAUGAUUGUAAGUUUCCUGAGGCCUCCUAGCCAUGCUUCCUGUUAAGCCUGCAGAACUGUGAGUCAACUGAAACUCUUUUCUUCAUAAAUUACCCAGUCUCAGGUGGUUCUUUACAGCAGUGUGAGAAUGGAUUAAUACACACGGGCAUCAGAUGUUUAGAACAUUAACGAUCCUCCUCUGUGUUCCUACAGCAGAGAUCCAUGUUGAGACUUGAAUACGACUCGUUCGUGGUGAUCUUGGACAGGAAAGGGCUGAAGCCCUUUCAGCAGCACCUGCCCUUUGAGUUUUUCCAGUGGUAGGGCUGAAGUUUAUUUCAGUCAGUCUCUUUGUCACUGUCUCUGUCUCUCUCCCCCUUCCAACCCAUGGGACGGACUAUGGUUAAAGUCGAGCUGGAGGUUUCUCAGUGUGAAGCUAUUUGGCCCAUUUAGAGAUUAAACCUAGAUUCUUAGGCUUCCUAGUGCCUUUCUUUAGCCAACUGGACUUGGCAGUUUGAAAGUAAAUGCUAAUCGUUAAUCAUUUGAAAUAUCUUUCUCCAGUGGGAUCACGAAGGGGAAGGUGGCUCGCUGACUGGUGCAGUUCUCACAACGUGAGCUUUGGUCCUCAGUUUAGAAGCAAAUCAAGUCUGGGCAUUAUCGGGCCGAUACAUAUCCCCUCAGGUUCUAGGGUAUGGCUUGGUGGGCAACAUGCCCCAUGACCUAGUCUGCUUCACAAUAACCUGCAUUUAUCAAGAGUUAACAGUACCUGCAGAUUGCAAAGCCACUGAUGCAAAAGUGUGAACCGCAAGCCUACUGUUAGGUGGCAACCAAAAAGCUACCAUGGUGACUCGUGAGGAAAAACUUGUCUUCCUCUGAAAAUAUGUGUUCUAUGGGUUAGCCAGCUGGAAUUUUAGAGCAACUUGAAAGGUGAUUCAGCUGAUGGCCUUUGUUAGCUCAAAG
rnacentral:lncRNA from 1 species